rnacentral:sRNA from 1 species
CCAAGUAAUCAAAUAGUACAGAAUAAAUAGCCAUGGCAUCUUUGACACAUGCUCACCCAUCCUCUGUUUGAACACUACAGUGAUUGGUAGACAGUUUGGUCUGUGGUGAACUUUUUUUUCCUCCUCAGCUUGCGGAAGGAGCUAAUGCUGCUUAUUUGCAGUUGUUGAACCUGUUUGCCUAUGGGACAUACCCAGAUUACAUAGCCAACAAGGAGAGCCUGCCAGAACUGAGCACAGCUCAGCAGAACAAGCUGAAGCAUCUUACCAUCGUGAGCUUGGCAUCAAGAAUGAAGUGUAUCCCCUACUCCGUGUUGCUGAAAGAUCUGGAGAUGCGGAAUCUCCGGGAACUAGAAGACCUCAUCAUUGAGGCUGUCUACACUGACAUCAUCCAGGGCAAGCUGGACCAGCGAAACCAGCUGCUGGAAGUGGAUUUCUGCAUUGGCCGUGACAUCCGAAAGAAGGAUAUCAAUAAUAUUGUCAAGACCCUGCAUGAAUGGUGUGAUGGCUGUGAAGCAGUUCUGCUGGGCAUCGAGCAGCAAGUUCUGAGAGCCAACCAGUACAAAGAGAACCACAACCGAACUCAACAGCAGGUAGAAGCAGAGGUUACCAACAUCAAGAAGACACUCAAAGCCACCGCAUCCUCCUCGGCUCAGGAGAUGGAGCAGCAGCUGGCUGAACGGGAGUGUCCCCCUCACGCUGAGCAGAGGCAGCCCACCAAGAAGAUGUCCAAAGUGAAAGGUCUGGUCUCCAGCCGCCACUAGGGCCGGCUGGGGCAGCUGGCACUCACCAGGCCUGGGUCAGGUGGGGAGGGGACACCAAGGGCCCAUUUCCUCCCCUCUCUACCUGCAGUGAGUUCCAGACCUGCCCGUCCCCUCACCAGCACCUCCCCACCCUGUUGGUACUGUUCCAGAAA